AUUGAACGCUGGCGGCAGGCUUAACACAUGCAAGUCGAGCGGGGGAAGGUAGCUUGCUACCGGACCUAGCGGCGGACGGGUGAGUAAUGCUUAGGAAUCUGCCUAUUAGUGGGGGACAACAUCGCGAAAGGGAUGCUAAUACCGCAUACGUCCUACGGGAGAAAGCAGGGGAUGUUCGGACCUUGCGAUAAUAGAUGAGCCUAAGUCGGAUUAGCUAGUUGGUGGGGGAAAGGCCUACCAAGGCGACGAUCUGUAGCGGGUUUGAGAGGAUGAUCCGCCACACUGGGACUGAGACACGGCCCAGACUCCUACGGGAGGCAGCAGUGGGGAAUAUUGGACAAUGGGGGGAACCCUGAUCCAGCCAUGCCGCGUGUGUGAAGAAGGCCUUAUGGUUGUAAAGCACUUUAAGCGAGGAGGAGGCUACUCUAGUUAAUACCUAGGGAUAGUGGACGUUACUCGCAGAAUAAGCACCGGCUAACUCUGUGCCAGCAGCCGCCGUAACAC
rnacentral:rRNA from 1 species